UGGGGAAUUUUGGACAAUGGGCGCAAGCCUGAUCCAGCCAUACCGCGUGAGUGAAGAAGGCCUUCGGGUUGUAAAGCUCUUUCAGACGGAAAGAAACGGUUACGGCUAAUACCCGUGACUAAUGACGGUACCGUAAGAAGAAGCACCGGCUAACUGCGUGCCAGCAGCCGCGGUAAUACGUAGGGUGCGAGCGUUAAUCGGAAUUACUGGGCGUAAAGCGUGCGCAGGCGGUUUGGUAAGACAGAUGUGAAAUCCCCGGGCUUAACCUGGGAACUGCAUUUGUGACUGCCAGACUAGAGUGUAGCAGAGGGGGGUAGAAUUCCACGUGUAGCAGUGAAAUGCGUAGAUAUGUGGAGGAAUACCGAUGGCGAAGGCAGCCCCCUGGGCUAACACUGACGCUCAUGCACGAAAGCGUGGGGAGCAAACAGGAUUAGAUACCCACGUAGUCCCUGAGCGGGCUGGCAAGGCGCAU
rnacentral:rRNA from 1 species